UGUUGCGGAGAGUGGAGCGGCGUCCGUUGUCGCGACCCGUCAGGGAGUGGUGGAGCCACGCAGUAUCCGUCGCAGGAACUGGAGCAGAAUCGUGGCCAUUACUGCGGCCUGCCGCGUGGAGCCUGUUACGGGGAGUGAUGGAGCCACGCAGAAUCCGUCGCAGGAGGUGGAGCAGAGUCGUGGCCAUUACUGUGGCCUGUCAGGG
rnacentral:lncRNA from 1 species